rnacentral:rRNA from 1 species
AUUGAACGCUGGCGGCAUGCCUUACACAUGCAAGUCGAACGGCAACGGGCCUUCGGGUGCCGACGAGUGGCGAACGGGUGAGUAAUGUAUCGGAACGUACCUUUCAGUGGGGGAUAACGUAGCGAAAGUUACGCUAAUACCGCAUAUUCUGUGCGCAGGAAAGCAGGGGACCUUCGGGCCUUGCGCUGCUUGAGCGGCCGAUAUCAGAUUAGCUAGUUGGUGAGGUAAAGGCUCACCAAGGCGACGAUCUGUAGCGGGUCUGAGAGGAUGAUCCGCCACACUGGAACUGAGACACGGUCCAGACUCCUACGGGAGGCAGCAGUGGGGAAUUUUGGACAAUGGGGGCAACCCUGAUCCAGCCAUGCCGCGUGAGUGAAGAAGGCCUUCGGGUUGUAAAGCUCUUUCGGCCGGGAAGAAAUCGUAUCAGCUAAUACCUGGUGCGGAUGACGGUACCGGCAUAAGAAGCACCGGCUAACUACGUGCCAGCCGCCGCAGUAAGAC